GAAGAGGAAGAUGUGGUGUCUUCGGUCAGGAACUUUCUCCUCCAUGUCGCCCUGCUCCGAGUCACACAAUAUGUUCUCAGAAGCUGGACAGCAUAUGAAUAGAAUCCAUCUUCUCUCACCCUCACCCUCAAGACCUACAUCACAAGAUGCUUCAGAAAAACAACAACUGUAACGAAUGUCGCCGGGAUAGGAGAAGAGGACCAAGGUGCAGCGUGGAACAACCAUGACAACAACAACAACAACAAGCUGGUG